rnacentral:rRNA from 1 species
UACGUAGGGUGCGAGCGUUUAAUCGGAAUUACUGGGCGUAAAGCGUGCGCAGGCGGUUCGUUGUGUCGGCGGUGAAAGCCCCGGGCUUAACCUGGGAAUGGCCGUUGAAACUGGCGAACUGGAGUGUGGCAGAGGGGGGUGGAAUCCGCGUGUAGCAGUGAAAUGCGUAGAGAUGCGGAGGAACACCGAUGGCGAAGGCAGCCCCCUGGGCUAACACUGACGCUCAGGCACGAAAGCGUGGGGAGCAAACAGG